GUGGUAUUAAUAAUAAUAUUAUAAAGCAACAACACUAAAAAGAGAAAGCGCGCUCUCCUCUCCCUCUUUCUCUCUCCAUCUAUCUGUCUGUCUGUUUGUUUCUGUUCUUUUUUUUCUCUUACUUUUUUCUUUCUUUCCGGUGAUGACUGUUAUACAUGUGUGUUUUAUUUAAAUAAA
rnacentral:ribozyme from 1 species